rnacentral:lncRNA from 1 species
GGGGAAAGAAGGGGCAGCUGGGGUCAAGGGCAACAGUGGCGAGAUCAUGGUAAUGGUAAGGUGGGUAAUUUCGAAGAAAGAGGUGAAGGAAAGGCGCAACAUUGGAUUGGAAGGGGGUUUUAGAGGAGGUGGAGAAUGAAAGCAUUGUCUAAGGAGGAGGAGAGCUUAUGUUAAAUAUCGGUGAUUCUAAUAGUGUGGGUU